CUUGUAGGUUGCAGAUAAGAGCUUGAAGUGAAGUUUCAUUGUCUAAAAGCUAUAAUUUUCAGAUAAAGGAAGUGUUACUUUAACAUAAAAAUUGCAAAUGCUGCUUAGCUAUGCUGUUAAACUGUAACUCUAAUGAGAAUUGGUUUUGUUGGAAAUGCUCCUGGGAUGUUUUACAAAAUAGAACCGAGCAUGUAUAGUUUGUCAUAAAAGCAUAGGUGAGUGAUCAUGUGAAACACAGCAUUACCACUACAUAGCAGUAAGAGCAUGAGACAGAAUUUCUCUUUUUUGUGUGUGAGAAUUGGCUGUAGCAUCCCACGCAAUACUCUGUUCUCUGUUAUUGAAGGCAGCACCACUAAUGUUAUUUCCUUAUGGUAUUCUCAUAAUUAUCUAACGAGUCUGAACCAUCAUGACUUCUGGAACAAGAGAACACCACAAUCUAUUCUACACUACGCUGAAAAGCUUCAGCUAAGACAUUUUGCCAGAUGUUGACACAUUUCUGCUGUGGAUGCUAAUUUGCGUUGCAGUUGGUGGGUUUCAUCAGUGAGUGAACGGCACAAAACAUCGCUGGUGGCCUGAGCUUUUUCUCUCUCUGCCAAGCUCUUCUGAAGUCGUAAGAUUUCUCUCUCCUUUUCAAAUGGAGGUUGAUUUAUCAUCUGCUGUAUCUCUCCAUUUUUCUCCUCUAGUUGCUGAUUCAACUUCUGUACUUCCUAAACAUAAGGGAGAGGGGAAGUUAUUUAAAAGCAAAGUGAACUCAUAUGUUGAAAUAUAUUUAAGACUGAAUUCCAUAUUGCAGGAAUUCCAUAUUGCCUCUACGCUCAUUGCAAAGUGACUUAAAAAGUAAAAUAAAUCCAAUUCAUUUCUGUAUAACCACUCAGCCUUGGAAUCGACAGAUCAAUCCAUCAAAAUCAAGAACUGCUUGGACAGCUAUACAAGCGCUUCCUAGUCAACAGUAUGAAGAAACAAGCAGGAAAAAAUCAGGAAGGUUUUUCGAAAAGAUGUGCAACUAACUAAAGAUGUACCUUACAGGAAACGAAGUAGCUUAAAAGGAGUAACUAUGAAGGCUCAGAAAUGCUUACUGGUCCUACAUUCUAAAUUGCCUCAUAGCAGAGAUUUUCCUCAAAAACAAAAACCAACAACCAAAAAAACCCCACCCAAACACAGAACUGGAAAAUCAUCUUAUCAGAAACCAGCAAAGUGGUUUUAUUGUCUGACACUGUCACAAGGACAAAGCAGAGGGAACAUACACAGCAACUUUCUCACCUAGGGAAAGGACGAGCAUUAAGGACAAGCAAAGAGAAAAUUAAAUCCAUGUGGCAGCAAUGACUCUAUUUUGGCCAUAGCUGACUCUCCAAGGUACAUGAGGGGGUCUGACGUACUCCUGCAAAACAAGUGUGGAUCUCAUUGCCACAUGUUCUUGUUGCAUUGGAAGCUCUGUGGGAUCAUCCAGACUGCAUUAAGUUAACAUCUCUGCAGGUGUUUUGAGAAGGAAGAAGUUUGCUGGCAAGCUCUGUAGUACCAUACAUGUGAAGUACGCCAGUCCUGACUUUUGUCAAAAGUAGCUUGUGCUUGAUUAUCUUCCAAAAGUAGUGGAUGCUGGUAACUGCAGAGAAGUCUCUGCAGCACUGCUUUGCCAGAAUCAGUGAUGCCCUAGAUGCCAGCGUAGACCAUGAAACAGGUACAAGUUUGACUUUACCCUGCCAGCUCUUCAGAAGUGCUAAUGGAGCUGUAAAUCACAGGGAGCACUCUUUGCCAACAUAUGGGCCUUGGACUUCACAAAAUGUCUUUUUUUGUUGUUAUUUUUAGUGGCAAUGAUUUCAGUGUUUCUGAUUGGGCGUGAAGUAUUUAUUUCUAAAAAUAAUAACAUUAAUAUCUAACUUACAGAAAUAGCACUUGUUCUGUUACUGACUUUUAAAUUCUUCAGCAUCGUGCUAAAUUUCCACUUUGCUAUAGAUUAAAGACAUUCAGUGUCAGACUUCAAAAUAUAUCCAGAUACCCCA